rnacentral:rRNA from 1 species
UACGUAGGGAGCAAGCGUUGUCCGGAAUCAUUGGGCGUAAAGCGCGCGUAGGCGGCCCCGUAAGUCCGCUGUGAAAGUCCAAGGCUCAACCUUUGAAAGCCGGUGGAUACUGUGGGGCUAGAGUCCGGAAGAGGCGAGUGGAAUUCCUGGUGUAGCGGUGGAAUGCGCAGAUAUCAGGAGGAACACCAAUAGCGAAGGCAGCUCGCUGGGACGGUACUGACGCUGAGGCGCGAAAGCGUGGGGAGCGAACAGG